GCGCGAGUGGCGGAAUUGGCAGACGCGCAGGAUUUAGGUUCCUGUGUCCUCGGGCGUGCGGGUUCAAGUCCCGCCUCGCGCA
rnacentral:tRNA from 1 species